rnacentral:rRNA from 1 species
CGAAGCGUGCGAUUGGAUUGCACGUCUAAGCAGUAAGGCUGAGUAUUAGGCAAAUCCGGUACUCAUUAAGGCUGAGCUGUGAUGGGGAGAAGACAUUGUGUCUUCGAGUCGUUGAUUUCACACUGCCGAGAAAAGCCUCUAGAUAGAAAAUAGGUGCCCGUACCGCAAACCGACACAGGUAGUCAAGAUGAGAAUUCUAAGGUGAGCGAGCGAACUCUCGUUAAGGAACUCGGCAAAAUGACCCCGUAACUUCGGGAGAAGGGGUGCUCUUUAGGGUUAACGCCCAGAAGAGCCGCAGUGAAUAGGCCCAAGCGACUGUUUAUCAAAAACACAGGUCUCUGCUAAACCGUAAGGUGAUGUAUAGGGGCUGACGCCUGCCCGGUGCUGGAAGGUUAAGAGGAGUGGUUAGCUUCUGCGAAGCUACGAAUCGAAGCCCCAGUAAACGGCGGCCGUAACUAUAACGGUCCUAAGGUAGCGAAAUUCCUUGUCGGGUAAGUUCCGACCCGCACGAAAGGCGUAACGAUUUGGGCACUGUCUCAACGAGAGACUCGGUGA